GGACAGGAGAGGAGUGGGGAAAUAGGCCACUUAGGCCCCCGGGGAGGAUGACAACCAGGGAAAUACACCAGAGCGCUCUCCGACAGGGCCUCUGAGGUCGGAGGCCGAGUCCGUCUGCGGGCUCUACCCCGGGGCCGAUCCAGUUCAGGGAGGUCAAAAAGGCAGCUCUGAACGCGCCCAACCGGGACUGGAAACAUGUAAAACCCUCGGUUCAGCCCGAUUCCUCCUCGUCCAGGCAGCUUGUCUUGGGGGCACCCUAACCUCUCCGAACCUCAAUUUCCCCAUCUUGGGGAUCACUGAGGCCGGAAGUUGUAGAAGCACCUAGGAAGCUACGGGGUCCUGCAUCGGGACCAGUUUCCGGCUGUGCGCUCCCCAAUUCGGCCAGUUCGCCACUUGAGACCUGCCAGUUUCUGGAUUUUAAUGGCCUUUUCUCCCAGGCAGAGGUGAAAGAAACCCGGGGAGCCUCCUGGAAAUCCCAUUGACUUGGCAGAAAGAAGAGCUGGACGAUGACUAGAAGGUUCCGGAAGACAUCAUGGGGAGACAUCUCAGGAAGGGAAAGUCAAUUAUCCAUAAGGACUCGGGGGCGGUGCUCCCCAUCGAAGGCUGGUGUCAGGAAAGACUCUGAGGUCAGAAUCCAGACACGGGAUUGGAGGUGCUGAUGAACUCUGCUGCAGCACAGACUUUGGGGAGACGGUGAGAAAAAGGAGGAAAUGGGGCCCCCCUGCUUUCUCAUCUUCUCGUCUCUCCUGCACACUCCGAAGGAAACCUAUAGUCCCAAUGAACGACCGCGUUGAUUCGGCGACCAGGUUCACUUGGCGUUUGCAGAGCGAGCUAUUUCAAGAAUGUGCAGAUUCAGUCCUGGAAAUGGCCUAGGAGGAGACUGGCUGGGCUUCAGAGGAGCAGAACAAAUGAGCUCCCCUUGCCCCCCCUUCCCCGCUCCUUGCACCCCAUCCUGCGAUUUCCUUUGUCUCAAUCCAAAAUCCCCCUUUACAUGAUCCCGGAGGCUUCCUAAUAAAAUAGAACUGUAACUUUAUCUAAGACGAGUGCAGCGCAUGUAGACUGGAUAAGGUGUAAUUAAUAACAGAAAAUAAUGUUUCUCCCCUCCUGACCUCUCACCCCCAUAUAAGUGUCUUAAGUUUUAUGACAGCCGGGCCCAAAAUGAGUGUGUGUGUGCAUGUGUGUGCGUGCGCCCGUGUGUGUGUGUGAGUGUGCGGUGCGUGUUCCAGUGUGUGCAUCUCAGCUGAGCCUAUGUGGGGCCAAUACGUCUGUCUGCUGAGUAUUCACCUAGC
ensembl:lncRNA